rnacentral:rRNA from 1 species
CAGCCGCCGCGGGAAUACGAAGGUGGCAAGCGUUGUCCGGAAUUAUUGGGCGUAAAGGGCUCGCAGGCGGUUUCUUAAGUCUGAUGUGAAAGCCCCCGGCUCAACCUGGGAAUGGCAAUGGAUACUGGCAAGCUAGAGUGUGUCAGAGGAUGGUGGAAUUCCCGGUGUAGCGGUGAAAUGCGUAGAGAUCGGGAGGAACACCAGUGGCGAAGGCGACUCUCUGGUCUGUAACUGACGCUGAGGAGCGAAAGCGUGGGGAGCGAACAGGAUUAGAUACCCCGGUAGUCCCUGUCUCUUAUAC